rnacentral:rRNA from 1 species
CAGCAGCCACGGGAAUACGGAGGGUGCAAGCGUUAAUCGGAAUUACUGGGCGUAAAGCGCACGCAGGCGGUCUGUUAAGUCAGAUGUGAAAUCCCCGGGCUCAACCCGGGAACUGCAUUUGAAACUGGCAGGCUUGAGUCUUGUAGAGGGGGGUAGAAUUCCAGGUGUAGCGGUGAAAUGCGUAGAGAUCUGGAGGAAUACCGGUGGCGAAGGCGGCCCCCUGGACAAAGACUGACGCUCAGGUGCGAAAGCGUGGGGAGCAAACAGGAUUAGAUACCCCAGUAGUCCCUGUCUCUUAUAA